rnacentral:rRNA from 1 species
UACGUAAGGCGCAAGCGUUGUCCGGAAUUAUUGGGCGUAAAGAGCUCGUAGGCGGUUUGUCGCGUCUGCUGUGAAAACCUAAGGCUCAACCUUGGGCUUGCAGUGGGUACGGGCAGACUAGAGUGCGGUAGGGGUGACUGGAAUUCCUGGUGUAGCGGUGGAAUGCGCAGAUAUCAGGAGGAACACCGAUGGCGAAGGCAGGUCACUGGGCCGCAACUGACGCUGAGGAGCGAAAGCAUGGGGAGCGAACAGG